GUUCUUGUAGCUUAACCGGAUAGAGCAUCGGGUUCCGAACCCGAAGGUUGGAGGUUCGAAUCCUCUCAAGGACG
rnacentral:tRNA from 7 species